rnacentral:rRNA from 1 species
CCUACGGGAGGCAGCAGUGGGGGAUAUUGGACAAUGGGGGAAACCCUGAUCCAGCGACGCCGCGUGAGUGAAGAAGUAUUUCGGUAUGUAAAGCUCUAUCAGCCGGGAAGAAAGAAAUGACGGUACCUGAGUAAGAAGCCCCGGCUAACUACGUGCCAGCAGCCGCGGUAAUACGUAGGGGGCAAGCGUUAUCCGGAAUUACUGGGUGUAAAGGGAGCGUAGACGGUAAUGCAAGUCUGGAGUGAAAGGCGGGGGCCCAACCCCCGGACUGCUCUGGAAACUGUGUAACUGGAGAGCAGGAGAGGCAGGCGGAAUGCCUAGUGUAGCGGUGAAAUGCGUAGAUAUUAGGAGGAACACCAGUGGCGAAGGCGGCCUGCUGGACGGUAACUGACGUUGAGGCUCGAAAGCGUGGGGAGCAAACAGGAUUAGAUACCCUGGUAGUC